rnacentral:rRNA from 1 species
AACGAACGCUGGCGGCAUGCCUAACACAUGCAAGUCGAACGAGACCUCCGGGUCUAGUGGCGCACGGGUGCGUAACGCGUGGGAACCUGCCCUUAGGUUCGGAAUAACUCCCCGACAGGGGUGCUAAUACCGGAUAACGUCCUCGGACCAAAGAUUUAUCGCCCUUGGAUGGGCCGGCGUUGGUUUAGCCUGUUGGUAGGGUAAAAGCCUACCAAGGCGACGCUCCAUAGCUGGUCUGAGAGGAUGAUCAGCCACACUGGGACUGAGAAGCGGUCCAGACUCCUACGGGAGGCAGCAGUGGGGAAUAUUGGACUAUGGGCGAAGUCCUGAUCCAGCAAUGCCGCGUGAGUGAUGAAGGCCUUAGGGUUGUAAAGCUCUUUUACCCGGGAUGAUAAUGACAGUACCGGAAGAAUAAGCUCCGGCUAACUCCGUG